ensembl:lncRNA
AUGCUGACCCAUCAAGAUCUUUUUGCUUAUGAUGCCAAGUACCACAGAAGCUGCCUUGGUCACUAUAUUUCAGAGAGCAACAUUUCAGCAGCCAGAAAUAAAUAUCUGUCAGAAAAAAAGUUAAGUGAAUAUGAAGAAGCUUUCACAAAACUAAUUGAAGAAAUAACUAGCACAGUUUUUUCUGAGAAUAUGACUGUCACAACACUGAAUGCUGUCACUGAGAGCUAUGUUUCAAAACUGAGUGCAGCUGCAGGACCAAGCAUGCAUGAAUCAUGGAAACUCAAAGAGAAACUGAUCCAGCAUUAUGGAGAUGAAAUGAUUUUCAUUGAACGUCCUGGAAAAUCAGAUUUUAUCUGUUCUAGUGCCGUCACUGUUGGUCAUGCAAUGAGAGAAGCUUCCAUACUAAGAGAAAAACUAACAGAGGACAAGGAGCCAAUGCCUCAACUGAGAACAGAGACUCUCACUGACAAUCAAAUCCUACACAAGGCUGCAGGUAUCCUAAGGACAAGUAUGGAAGAGGUUAGGCAUGAGCCUCAGUUCUACACAGGGAGUGACACGCUUUCCCUUCUCCAGUGCAGUAAAUAUGUACCAGCAGAAGUGUAUGAUUUUGUUAACUGGUGCAUUAGUUCUGAUGCCUUCAGAAAACUGCAGACCUGUAAUGAUGACCCAGCUCUAAAGAAAAAUCUACGUGUGAUAACUUUUUGCCAUGGUCUAAUUGCACAGUGCUGUAGCCGACUAACACCUAUCACCCUAGGACUUGGCAUUAUGAUCCACCAUGAGUUUGGCAGCAAGUCCCUUAUCAACAAGCUACACAUGAUGGGUCACUGUGUGUCUUAUGAUGAAGUGCGUCAGUUUCUCACAUCUGCAGCAGCAGAUCAGUUACAAAGAAGCAAACGUGUUUACAUUCCUAAUGGACUAACAAGAAGUACAGAACACGGGAUAAUUGAUGCUGCCAUUGAUAAUUUUGACCAGAAUGAAGAGACACUGGAUGGCAAGAAUACAACACAUUGCAUGGCAAUAGUUGUAUACAGAAGAGGUGAUGAUGCUACAGUACGUAACCCCAUCAAACGAGUUCCAGAGAGAUCUCUCACUGCUCUGAACAGCUGUGAUUUGGAUAAUGAAGAAGUUCAGAGGUACAUUAAGCCACCUAGGCGACCUGAACCACCAGCAGUUCCACAGCAAGUCAUAAAAUCAGACAGCACAAAAUCACAAACAGCAGAGGGCCAAGACUUACUUUGGAAGGUGAGUCGAGUCAUGAAAGAAGAAAAACAGAGAAUCCCAGGAUGGUCUGCAUUCAAUGCUUUCAUAUCCACAUCAAGCACUCCAUUAACCACAGUAUAAUAUAUACCCUUCAUAAGAGCUUCACCGUCAGACCUAUCUACUAUCUACACAGCUCUUCUGAAACUCACACAGCUAGCUGAAGAACUUGGACAGAGGCAUAUUCUCGUAACUGCUGAUCUUGCCAUCUAUAGCAGGGAUUCCCAAAGUGUGGUGCGCGAGAUGAAAAAUGUAAUGGUGGUCUGGUGUAAAAAUAUUACACAGUGUCUGUGCGUUCAGACCGAAAGCGCACAAAGAGGAAAAUCCACCUUGUCCACUCCACCUAAGUCGCUUAGUCACCCUGUUUGUUCUUGCUUCUAAAUUUAAAGGGCCCGCACGCCACUCGCGUUAAACACCACCACGCAACUACUGCUGUCCAUCCAUUUACAGCCCAUCCAUUUACCGACAUCGUUGAUCACAGAAAAUUACUCGUUGAACAGUAACUUGAUGUAGCCGGGUGCGAAAAUGAGGCUGUAAACAUUUACGCCACCAGGUGACACUGUUUUAGUUUGGGAAACCUCCUGUGCGCGCUGUCUCCUGGGAAACGAUCAGGAAGAGAACCCGGAAAUGAGAUCAACAUCGUUUCACCGCGACGCACGCUGAAAUGUGAUUUCGGACAUUUUGGACUGUUUCUGUAAGGUAAAUGUUCUGUAAAAAGCAUGGAGUAGCAUGAAAUAUCAAUGGAUAGACUGUUAAAAUGAUUCAUGACCGUGUUUUGUGACUUGUUACGAUGUUUAUGUAUUUGUUUGGUAUGUGAUGAAUUUCCAGAUCUGACUCCCUGCUGGACGUAAUGGCGUAGAGCCCGUCGCCGCUUUUGUUGUGUAUUUGUGGACGGAUUCACAUGUUAGUACAGUAUUUUCACGGUAUUUUCACGCAUGUAUUGUAAUAUUUUUAUGACCUUUGAAUGUGAAAGGGUUUAUUGUGAAUUUGUGGCUAUUUGUGUUACAGCGAUG